ACUACUGACGGCCCAUUUCAGUAUUAGCGCGUUUCCGUAUUAGGUCUGCUGAUUCGGAGGAAUCACGCGGAAGUAGUAAAUUAGACGCAUCAAGUAGUGCAAAUCACCAACCAAAACAGUGACAUUUUGGAAAACUAAUGAAAGUAAAGUGUAUUUUAUUUUAAACAAGAGGACAUGUGCCAGUUCCAUUCCGAUUGUUAGGUUAUUCCGUAGAGGUAGCCUAUAGUCGCUGAAUUGUCAUCAUCAGAUAGAGUUAUGGCAUGCAGCGACUCAAUGGUGUCAAUGAAUGGAACUCAAGUUUCCUAUAUUGGACAUGACUGUGAGGACAUCCCAGAGUACCUUGGAGAAAGAUAUGGACUCUUGACAAGACGGCUAGAUCUCAGCUUCAAUCAGCUAAGCAGAGAAUCCCCUCCUGGAUCAAGAUCCUUGCUGUCGAAUAUUUGUUUUGUAUGUGCAACAAACUGUGCAGUAUGUUCAUUUAACUCUUUAAUGGAAUAAUAUCUGCCAUGAUUCAUAAAAACACCUAGUUAGUAACCAUUACACAGUGGAGAAAAAGCAGCUGCGUAGGCCUCUGGGUGCUUCCCAAAUGGCACCCUAUUCCCUGUCGAGUGCAUGAAGGUAGUGCACUAAAUAGGGCAUAUGUGGUGCCAUUUGGGAUUCAGCCUGUGUGUGUGAACCAUCUGGUAGCUGGUUGUUGACCAGGCAAGCGUCAGAGUGUGUGUAUUAAUUGUGUGUGUGUGUGUGUGUGUAUUAAUCAUGCUUACACAAUGUCUUAAUUACUCCCAGUGUAACUGCUCCCUCUCCAACCCAGGAGUUGACCUUUCUCUGCCUGGUACUCCAGCCCAUUAAUCAUCCACAAUCAACACUCACCCAGCGCCACACUCACAGUCAGAGGACAGGGGAGAGGGACAAUCACACCUGCCCACUACACAGUACCCCCUAGUACACACUAACACAGGCAUGGACACGGACACUGAUGCACACACACACUACUCUCUGUGUGUCUCAGUACAAAAUACAAUAUCCUAUAAUAUAUUUCUCUUGGUGAUUAAUUGUGUCAUUCUUCAACAUUUCAUAUCUUGGACUCAAUCCUCUAUCAUUUGGCGCUUCUCUAAUAUCUAAUAUCCCACAGGGAGGGAACCAGACAAUAUACCCAUCAGCCCCAACAAAUGGUCCUUCACUUCUAAAUAUGAUACUCUGACAUUCAUAGCAGGCAGACACUCAUUUCUUCC
rnacentral:lncRNA from 1 species